UACGGAGGGGGCUAGCGUUGUUCGGAAUUACUGGGCGUAAAGCGCGUGUAGGCUGUUCUGCAAGUCGGGUGUGAAAGCCCCGGGCUCAACCUGGGAAGUGCACUCGAAACUGCAGAACUCGAGUCCUGGAGAGGAAGGCGGAAUUCUCGGUGUAGAGGUGAAAUUCGUAGAUAUCGAGAGGAACGGCGCGGGCGAAUGCGGCCUUCUGGACAGUGACUGACGCUGAGACGCGAAAGCGUGGGGAGCAAACAGG
rnacentral:rRNA from 1 species